UUGUAGGGCAGACAAAUGUAUGAUGGCAUCCUCCGAUUUUCAGGCUGAUGUGAGAGCUCUUCAAAAGGUUUUGGCAGCUAGGCACUUGAUCUAUCAGCAUCAACACAACAAGUAGAUGAGCUGUCCUGCAAUGGGUCAACUGCUCUCGAACACCCUUUACUACAAGCGCUUCUUUCCUUAUUAUGCUUUCAAUGUUCUCGGUGGCCUCGAUAAGGAAGGUAAGGGUUGUGUCUUCACAUAUGACGAUGUUGGCUCCUAU